CGGGAUGUAGUUCAGUUUGGUAGAGCGCUCGCUUUGGGAGCGAGAGGUCGCAGGUUCAAAUCCUGUCAUCCCGA
rnacentral:tRNA from 3 species